AAGCACGCGUGGAGUGGCUCCCCGCGUGCUUCAUGCACAGUGCGAAGGUAAUUAAUUUACCUUCGCACAGUGCAACGAUACAACUAAAUUGAAUGUACAAAAAAAACGAAAGAAAAAUGACUUACCUGUUCUCUGGAGACGGUGUGGAUGGUGGCAGCGCGGUGGCCCUCCUCCGCUUAUAGCUUUCACUCCUGCUUUCCUUUGCUUCUAUGCCCACUGUCCUCUCUGUUUUCUUUGUUUUUCCCUGCUUUCUCAGUCCUUGUGAUGAUGAACUGAGGACGGUGCUGGCUUCUCCUUCCAAUUCGAGAUCUGGGUUUUGUGUUGGUUUUUUUAUACAGGGACGUCUGCAGAGAUGAAGGCAAUAGCGGGAACAAUUCUCUAUGUAUGCUGGAUUUCUUUCCUCUCCUUCUCUCCGUGUAUUAUUUCUUUGCUCUGGUUUUUUUUUUUUGUGCUCUGUUUUCUCUGUUUUCGGGUUAAUUUUUCCGGUCCAUUCUCCCCUGCCUCCCAGUUUCCCCCUGUUCUUCCCCUCAGUUUUCUCCCUGUUCUUCCCCCCUCUGUUUUUCCAAUGAUUUUCGGUUCAAUUCCCCUGCCCUCCCCUUUUUCUGGCGCUGGGUUUCUUAUCCCUUUUAUAAGGCCAGAGAUCUUCAGCAACCGUCUCCUCCAUGACCGGGAUCGUGGCAGAAGACAUGGUCACGAUUUGGAUCGGAUGCACUGUGAUUCUCCUGUUGAAUCGGCUGCCCUGUCGAAAUAGACGGGAUGACGAACAGUAUUGCAAACGGCACCGUUACACUAUUUUCAAUUUGGUCCCUAAACGUUUUAAAUUCAACAAUUUGGAUCUCAAUCAGUAAUAAUUAAUUUCUAAUUAUGCCCUUGGAUUACUUUCAAUUGAACCCUCAGUUAUAGUACCAUUUACACAACAGUCCUGGGUUUACACAACAGUCCUGGGUUUCUGGACUAUUUAAUUUGGUUCUUGAACUUUAAUUUCCUAGCAAUUUUUCUUUGUAUGAGCUCCAAAUUUUGGUGUUUUCUUCAAUUAAAUCUCUGAUUCCUUUAAUUAAUUAAAUCAAAGUUUAAUUAAGUACUCAAACUCAUCAAUUCUUUAAUUAAGCUCAUGUUUUCAUUAAUUAAACUAAUCCAAAUUUUAAUUAAAUUCUCAAACUUAUUAAUUUUUCAAUUUCUGACCAAUUGACUCUCAAAUUUUAAAGAUUUCAACAUUGAACUUUGAAUUUGUGUUGUCUUAACCCAAUUCUCAACUAUUAUCAUUUUUUUAAUAUUUAUUCAAAAAUUGGAUUAUGACAAAGGUAAGAAGGCAAAGCCGCGAUUCUCAAUCUUCCCUAGAAAGGCAUCGGUUUCAUCUAGGCUUCAGUGAUAGCGAAUGAUGUCCCCUCCCACAUUCCGUGCAUUGAUUCUAAUAAUUCGAGCAUGUGCAGCAGCUUCAUCCAUUUGCUCAUCUGUCUUGGUCAUCUUUUCUAUGAGCAACAUAUUGGUUAUGUUCAAAGCAGUGUUGUUGGCGUCAAUUUGAUCCUUGUGUUUUUCCAUUACCGCUAGCUUCUCGUCCAAAUACUUCAGCUUUUCACGUUCCUUAUCAAGUUUUAUCCUUAUAACUUUUAUCUCAUUAUUCUUAACCGCUAAUUCUAUUUCAACAACCUCAAAACCUUUCCUUUUACUUUCUUCUUUUGCAAUCCCCAUCGGACAGCUUUCCAACUCCAUAUAUUUCUUGUUCAAAUCCUCAUACUUCCUAAUCCUAUUCAUCAGUUCGAACUGGACUUGUGCAAAUUUUUCUUGGAAAUAUUCUGCACUUCCUUGGCAAUUGUUAAAGUCAAUCUCCAUUGCUUCAAGUUCAGAGCAACUUUGCAUCCAAUCCAAACUCAUCCCUCUUAGCUCCUUCUCACUUCUUUCCCUAGCAAUCUUCUCCUUACCCAGCUUUAACUCAAGCUUUGUUAUUCGCGCAUCUCUAGAUUGUAUUUGCUCAUCUAUAAAUGCUUUCCUUUGAUCUUCUUUUAGCAUCAUUUCUUCCAACGUUGCCUUGUCUUUUCUGCUUUUGCUCAACUCUAUCCGAAGUUUUUCCACUUGUCUUCUCAACUCCUCUUCAUUAUUGACCCUUUUCCUCUUAAUAGGCUCUUCUACAGUUUGGGGAGAUUUGACUCCUACACAAGGCAUGGCUAAAGCAGCUAAGUCUCUCCAUCUUGCAUAUCCUUCGCUUGCACUUGGAUCCUUUAAGCCUUCUAUCUCAACCAAAACCAGAUGCUUCCAAUCUUGUUUGAUGAUCUCCAAAACUUCUUGUGCAAUGGGAUCUUUGAACAAACCAAAGAAUUGAGCAAUUCCCAUAGUCCUUGGAACAAACUGCAUGCCCCCAAGUUGCCUUACCACCAGGGCAGGAGCAUAACUCACAUAACCUGUAAUCCCUACCAAUUGGACCCAAUGUCUUUGUCCACAACUCAUUAGGACUUUCACUGUCGUUACCCAUGAGGCUCUCCACUUAAAAUCACUAUUAGGCAAACCUUCUAAUUUGUCAACCCAACCUUGGUUGUCUAGAUCUCCCCAUUCUUCUUCUUCUACUAACUUCAGGGGUCUUUAGGUGAACCACUAAAAAUUAUUAAAGACAAGCUUUUUUGUUUUGAUAUGGCUAACCAUCCAGAUAUACAACAAUUACGUGCAACAUCUCAUUGCUCCUUUUCUGGUCCUCCUACAAUGGUUAAGUGUCAAGAUGGUUUCGGCUAAAAUAGCAGCCACUAGAUUGAUUUGUGUAUUCUUAUACUCUACAUAAGCAGCAGCGGCCUCCAAAAUCACUACACCCGUCUGACUUGGGAACAACACAAGGCCAAAUAUGCCUAAGGCAAUCAAUCUCUCUUUCUCUAAUCCUGACUUCUUUUCCAGUUCAAUUUCUAGCAUCCUCCAUUUCAGACCGGUAGCAUUAUUUUCCAAAAACUUUUCCAAGUUAGAGAUUCUGAGCAGUUUUGACAGUUUGGGGAUGAUCUUGUCAGAUCUCAAAGGCAAAUAAAUCCGAUACAGAUUGUUUGGAAACUCAGUCAACAUCCUAUAUUCCUCCAUAGUGGGAUAUAGGUCUAUGCUUCCAAAAUAAAAACACUGGUAGUCUGGAUCCCAAAAAUGAACUAUGGCUCGCACAGCUGGGCUUAAAACUUCUACCCUUGCAAUUUCCAUCAAACGUCCGUAUUUAUUAAAAAAUGCAUCCUUAUCCACAUUCUGAAAGUGAGUCGUUAACUUGUUCACCUCAUUCAUAAUGCAAUUCAGGUUCUUGAUUGGUGACAGUUUCUUAGCAUCGCUUCUAAGGCAGUCUCCUUCAGUCAAUUGUGACAGUUCAGAAUUUUUCCCAUAUUCUAUGAUGGAAAAUUUAGCAAUGGUGGCCAUUUUGUUCACAAGUGCCUUGGGGUUAUACUUGUUUUGAUGCAAAAGAUAUUAUAGAGCAUAGACCCUAAGGAUAGGUUCUAGUUCCUUUACAUGAGACAUAGGGUAGGUUUACUACUUGGUCUCUAAAAAGGAUCUCUUGCUGUCCCAGUGAUCACCCUCGUAAAGGCAAUAUGGGGGUUCAGCAGAUAGUGGGAUGGCACAUGUACCAAUCAUUAUCAGUCUAAACACUCAGCAAAGAGUUGGGGUUUACACAAACUUAAACCUUGACUCAAGUCAUAAGGCAAGCUGUUAGUUCCCCACUUAACUUAAAGUUUAAUGUGUGUGCCCUCAAAAAGAUAACAAUCAUAAAGUAAUGAAUGACUAUAUCAUGUAUGACAGAAUGUAAAGAUGCAUGCUAAAGCUUUUGAACAAAGUAUUAUUCAUAUAAAAAAACAAAAACCAACAUAGUAUAAACAAACAAAUUACCAAGCCUAGUCCUAGGGUCCCCAGUGGAGUCGCCAUCCUGUCGCACCCUCGCGGCGGAGCGCGGCGUCGCUGCGAUCCUCGAUUGAUUUCCAGGGUCCUUUUGUUUUGUUUGUAAAAGGGGAGUCGCUACCUAGUAUUAUGGUCACUAGGAAACCUAACUGGUCUUUCAGAGAUUCUAAGGCAAGGGACUGGUUGCAUAAAGGGAAGGUAUUAGCACCCCUAGUACGCCCUACCUAAGGUAAGCUGCUUGGUGUUUGGUUUGCCUUAUAAUUGCUAUGGUGUUGGUGUUUUCCUAGGAUACGUUUUGCUAUGAUGAAUGGAUUUGGGCUGAAAGUUUAAAAAGAAAUAACCCUUGGUCAAUGUGGAUCACACCAUUAGAUAUGUCUACAAAGUACCAAGGAGAACCAAUGCAGAUCUCUUGAAAUCUAUGUUUGAUUCAGAUUAAAUUAUUAAGAUAGAAAUCCAAGGAGAUUCAAUGUGCUUUAAAAACACAUUUUUCCCUUGGUAUUUCGAGUGUUCGUGACUCGUAAAUCGCAAGGAGGAGGAACAAAAAUUUAGAAAUCUAAGGAAAUUCAUAGUGCUUUAAAAUCCUCCUUUUGCCUUAGUAUUUCAUACUUUCACAACUCGUAAACCGUGAAGUCAAAAAUUGAAAUGUCCUUGAUUAUAAUCAAGGCUUCUUUCAAGGCUGUAUAAUGACAUAUUAUUCCUAGAAAAUUAUUUUGAAUAUUUACCGUUGAGGGUUUCUUUAUCCAAAUAUUAACAGUGAAUAAUAACAAGUUAUUUCCAAUAAUAUUUUGGAUAUUCAUCCCUUUGGGAUUUCUUUAUCCAAACAUUAACGGUGAAUAAUAGAUGAAUUCCCUCAAAAAUAAGAUUUUUAUAUUUUUUGAAAUAUUGGCCAAUACCCUUUGGAGUUUUACAAACAUGUUGUAAAAUCCAGCAAUGCAAGAAAAUAAUUUUUUUAAUUGUGUUUAAGAAAUCCAUGCAAAAACACAUUUUCAAAACUUCGAAUAUUUGUUUUUUUAAAGAGAAAAUUCAAAAUAUGUUAGGGUAUUAGCCGUAUGCAACACACAAAAAUAUUUUUUAUAUAUUUUCUUUAUCAAAAACACAAACAUUACAUUUAAUCACAAUUAAAGUCAUAUUAGUCAAAUUCUUAAGGCUUUAAUAAAUCAGCUAUUAAAUCCCAGAAUAUAUGUGGAAACGUGUUCUUACAUUUUCACGAGAAAUACAACAUGAUUUUAUUUGUCCUUCAGAUACUUGACUAUAUACCAAUUAAAACAUUAAAUUCGUUUUUUCUUCUUUUUGAUUUUAUAAUUCAAUAACAUAUUUAAAACACACACAUCCCUCACUUUUUACCAUGUUUACUCACACCCAUAAUUACAUGUUUACAAAAUAUAUGAACUCAAAAUAAACCAAACAAAACACUAAACAAUUUAAUUAUUUACAAAUAAACCCAAAACAGUCCUGGAAUUGCAAGGAAGGCAUUCUGGAGUUGCAGGAACAGGGCGACACAUCUUCUCCACGCGCGGCCGCCACAAGAAAUAACAGGGGACGGAGGAUCUGGCUUGGCUUCCUCCCUUCUUCUCUUUCUCGCCGGCGGUGACCUGCAAAACAAAAGGAACGCAGCAAGCACACAUGUUCUCGGUCUUCUUUCCUUUUAGAUUUGUUUCACUACAGAUGAGUCGGCUGUCUGUGGGGAGGGAUCUGGCGAUGGAGAUAAGAGAGUGAAGGGGUUCUGUUCUGUCAAGAGAAGGGGGGGAAGCGGCGGCUUCUCUUUGUUAGAGAGGAUAGGUUUAGGUUUUUCUUUGUGUUUUC
rnacentral:lncRNA from 1 species